GCACAUUCUCGGGGCGGGGCGAGAUUCCCCACCGGCGGUAUGCGUUUCGGCGCGAGCCCGCGAGCGCCUUUCCGGACAUUGCCGGAAAGGGUCAGCAGAUCCGGUGCGAAACCGGAGCCGACGGUCAAAGUCCGGAAGGAAGAGAAUGCAG
rnacentral:ncRNA from 2 species